rnacentral:rRNA from 1 species
GCAUAUCAAUAAGCGGAGGAAAAGAAACCAACAGGGAUUGCCCUAGUAACGGCGAGUGAAGCGGCAACAGCUCAAAUUUGAAAUCUGGCUCUCUUUGGGGGUCCGAGUUGUAAUUUGCAGAGGAUGCUUUGGCAUUGGCGGCGGUCUAAGUUCCUUGGAACAGGACAUCACAGAGGGUGAGAAUCCCGUACGUGGUCGCCUGCCCUUGCCGUGUAAAGCUCCUUCGACGAGUCGAGUUGUUUGGGAAUGCAGCUCUAAAUGGGAGGUAAAUUUCUUCUAAAGCUAAAUACUGGCCAGAGACCGAUAGCGCACAAGUAGAGUGAUCGAAAGAUGAAAAGUACUUUGGAAAGAGAGUCAAAAAGCACGUGAAAUUGUUGAAAGGGAAGCGCUUGCAGCCAGACUUGCCCGCAGUUGCUCACCUAGGCUUUCGCCUGGGGCACUCUUCUGCGGGCAGGCCAGCAUCAGUUUGGGCGGUUGGAUAAAGGCCUCUGUCACGUAUCUCCCUUCGGGGUGACCUUAUAGGGGAGGCGCAAUGCAACCAGCCCGGACUGAGGUCCGCGCAUCUGCUAGGAUGCUGGCGUAAUGGCUGUAAGCGGCCCGUCUUGAAACACGGACCAAGGAGUCUAACAUCUAUGCGAGUGUUUGGGUGUCAAGCCCGAGCGCGCAAUGAAAGUGAACGGAGGUGGGAACCCUUUGGGUGCACCAUCGACCGAUCCUGAUGUCUUCGGAUGGAUUUGAGUAAGAGCAUAGCUGUUGGGACCCGAAAGAUGGUGAACUAUGCUUGAAUAGGGUGAAGCCAGAGGAAACUCUGGUGGAGGCUCGCAGCGGUUCUGACGUGCAAAUCGAUCGUCAAAUUUGGGCAUAGGGGCGAAAGACUAA